rnacentral:rRNA from 1 species
CGGUGGAGUAUGUUGUUUAAUUCGAGGAUACACGAAGAACCUUACCAGGUCUUGACAUACCAUUGACCGGUCUAGAGAUAGACUUUUCGCUUUCGGCGACAAUGGAUACAGGUGGUGCAUGGUUGUCGUCAGCUCGUGCCGUGAGGUGUUGGGUUAAGUCCCGCAACGAGCGCAACCCCUAUUGAUAGUUGCUAAUAUUAAGUUAAGGACUCUAUUGAGACUGCCAGCGACAAGCUGGAGGAAGGUGGGGAUGACGUCAAAUCAUCAUGCCCUUUAUGACCUGGGCUACAAACGUACUACAAUGGCCAGAUACAAAGAGAUGCGAAGCCGCGAGGUGGAGCGAAUCCUAAAAAGCCGGUCUCAGUUCGGAUUGCAGGCUGCAAUUCGCCUGCAUGAAGUCGGAAUCGCUAGUAAUCGCAGGUCAGCAUGUCGCGGUGAAUACGUUCCCGGGUCUU